GACGAACGCUGGCGGCGUGCUUAACACAUGCAAGUCGAACGGUAAGGCCCUUCGGAGUACACGAGUGGCGAACGGGUGAGAAACACGUGGGUGAUCUGCCCUGCACUUCGGGAUAAGCCUGGGAAACUGGGUCUAAUACCGGAUAGGACUCCUGGCUUCAUGGUUGGGGGUGGAAAGCUUUUGCGGUGUGGGAUGGGCCCGCGGCCUAUCAGCUUGUUGGUGGGGUAAUGGCCUACCAAGGCGACGACGGGUAGCCGGCCUGAGAGGGUGACCGGUCACACUGGGACUGAGAUACGGCCCAGACUCCUACGGGAGGCAGCAGUGGGGAAUAUUGCACAAUGGGCGCAAGCCUGAUGCAGCGACGCCGCGUGAGGGAUGACGGCCUUCGGGUUGUAAACCUCUUUCAGCUAUGACGAAGCGCAAGUGACGGUAGUAGCAGAAGAAGGACCGGCCAACUACGUGCCAGCCGCCGCGGUAA
rnacentral:rRNA from 1 species